rnacentral:rRNA from 1 species
ACACGACUACAUUAGAUACCCGUGUAGUCCCAGCCGUAAACUAUGCUCGCUAGGUGUCAGGCAUGGCGCGACCGUGUCUGGUGCCGCAGGGAAGCCGUGAAGCGAGCCACCUGGGAAGUACGGCCGCAAGGCUGAAACUUAAAGGAAUUGGCGGGGAGCACAACAACGGGUGGAGCCUGCGGUUUAAUUGGACUCAACGCCGGGAAGCUCACCGGAUAAGACAGCGGAAUGAUUGCCGGGCUGAAGACUCUGCAUGACUAGCUG